rnacentral:rRNA from 1 species
AUACGGAAGGUCCGGGCGUUAUCCGGAUUUAUUGGGUUUAAAGGGAGCGCAGGCGGAGAUGCAAGCGUGACGUCAAAUUUCGGGGCUCAACCCCGUCUCGCGUCGCGAACUGCGUCCCUUGGUUGCGGGAAGGGGAGGCGGAACUCGUGGGGUAGCGGGUAAAUGCAUAGAUAUCACGAAGAACUCCGAUCGCGAAGGCAGCCUUCCGGCCCGUCAACGACGCUCAUGCUCGAAGGUGCGGGUAUCAAACAGGAUUAGAUACCCUGGUAGUCCGCACAGUAAACGAUGGACACCCGCGGUUUGGCCUGUAUGGCUGAGCCGCCAAGCGAAAGCGUUAAGUGUCCCACCUGGGGAGUACGCCGGCAACGGUGAAACUCAAAGGAAUUGACGGGG